AAAGGAAUUGACGGGGACCCGCACAAGCAGCGGAGCGUGUGGUUUAAUUCGAGGCUACGCGAAGAACCUUACCAGGGUUUGACAUGCAAGUAGUAGUGAAGCGAAAGUGGAACGAUCCUUCGGGAAGCUUGCACAGGUGAUGCAUGGCUGUCGUCAGCUCGUGCCGUGAGGUGUUUGGUUAAGUCCACUAACGAGCGCAACCCUUAUCGCCAGUUACACGUGUCUGGCGAGACUGCCGGUCUUAAGCCGGAGGAAGGUGGGGAUGACGUCAAGUCAGCAUGUCCCUUAUAUCCUGGGCUACACACACGCUACAAUGGCCGGUACAGUAGGGUGCUAAGCCGCGAGGCGGAGCCAAUCCACAAAACCGGUCUCAGUUCGGAUUGCAGGCUGCAACUCGCCUGCAUGAAGUCGGAGUUGCUAGUAACCGCAGGACAGCUAUACUGCGGUGAAUACGUUCCCGGGUCUUGUACACACCGCCCGU
rnacentral:rRNA from 1 species